rnacentral:tRNA from 1 species
CGGGGUGUAGUUUAAUGGUAGAAUUCGCGGCUGGGGGUCGUGAGGCUUGAGUUCGAUUCUCAGCACCCCGA